rnacentral:rRNA from 1 species
ACGUAACGCACAGGAGCACCGUAGUUUACUACACCGUAUUCUGUGAGUUGCCGGUGAGUAACGCGUAGGUAACCUGCCUGGUAGCGGGGGAUAACUAUUGGAAACGAUAGCUAAUACCGCAUAAGAACAUUUACUGCAUGGUGGAUGUUUAAAAGGUGCAAAAGCAUCACUACCAGAUGGACCUGCGUUGUAUUAGCUAGUUGGUGGGGUAAGGGCCUACCAAGGCAACGAUACAUAGCCGACCUGAGAGGGUGAUCGGCCACACUGGGACUGAGACACGGCCCAGACUCCUACGGGAGGCAGCAGUAGGGAAUCUUCGGCAAUGGGGGGAACCCUGACCGAGCAACGCCGCGUGAGUGAAGAAGGUUUUCGGAUCGUAAAGCUCUGUUGUUAAGGAAGAACGUGUGUGAGAGUGGAAAGUUCACACAGUGACGGUACUUAACCAGAAAGGGACGGCUAACUACGUGCCAGCAGCCGCGGUAAUACGUAGGUCCCGAGCGUUGUCCGGAUUUAUUGGGCGUAAAGCGAGCGCAGGCGGUUAGAUAAGUCUGAAGUGAAAGGCAGUGGCUCAACCAUUGUAGGCUUUGGAAACUGUUUAACUUGAGUGCAGAAGGGGAGAGUGGAAUUCCAUGUGUAGCGGUGAAAUGCGUAGAUAUAUGGAGGAACACCGGUGGCGAAAGCGGCUCUCUGGUCUGUAACUGACGCUGAGGCUCGAAAGCGUGGGGAGCGAACAGGAUUAGAUACCCUGGUAGUCCACGCCGUAAACGAUGAGUGCUAGGUGUUAGGUCCUUUCCGGGACUUAGUGCCGCAGCUAACGCAUUAAGCACUCCGCCUGGGGAGUACGACCGCAAGGUUGAAACUCAAAGGAAUUGACGGGGGCCCGCCAGCGGUGGAGCAUGUGGUUUAAUUCGAAGCAACGCGAAGAACCUUACCAGGUCUUUGACAUCCCUCUGACCCACUCCGAAGAUAGAGUUUCCUUCCGGGGCAGAGUGACAGGGUGGUGCAUUGGUGUCGUCCAGCUUCGUGUCGUGAGAUGUUGGGGUUUAAGUCCCGCAACGAAGCGCAACCCUUUAUGUUUAGUUGGCAUCAUUUCCGUUUGGGCACACCCUUCUGCCCGCA